rnacentral:tRNA from 1 species
AUGAAUGAGCGGGCCUUGAU